AAGGACACCAGGAUUCCUUUCUAUCGUCUGCAAAAUAGUACUUAAGGGACUUUAAUUCCCCUACUUCCGGCCCUCUGGACAUAAUGGUUUAAAAUUCCUGGCAAUUGAACCCGGACCCACACUUUCUUUUUCCUCCUCAUCCUGUGUCAUCGCUCUCCUUGCUGUCAGCACCCUGGCAGGCAUCUGGCAACACAGCUGGAACCAGAGUAUGCCCGGGUGCCACACUACCUGCCUCGCCUGGCUGAUCCUUUAGAAUCCAAAGGCGUUCAUUUUAGAGAGGAGCAGUGAAGGCUUACGAUAUCAGCAGUGCUACCUGCUUCGUGAUCUGAACAAAUAACAGGGCGAAGGCUCAACUCUAACUCGGUGCCGUGAUGAAUUACUCAGUGCCUGCUGCGGGCCAGGGGCUGGAGAUCCCCUGCGAGGAAGUUUUUAGCUGGGAACUUUCUGUAAGCUUUCCAGGAAUGAGCCGGAGAGGCAACACUCAAGUUGGGGAUUGCUGAUAAUACACCAGUCACACAGCUGCUCCAUUCCCACAUAAAUUUAGUCCUUGGCUGGUCACACUGACACAUUUCCCUGAAGGUGGCCAGAGGGCUCAUGCAGCCAGCCGGUUAUGAAACACCGAGAAGUAUAAAAGCCUGCUAGCCCUCUGGGCUGUUUUUCCCCUGACAGAGAUGGAGGCUGUGAGCAGGCUUGUCCCCUUGGCCCUUUUCAUCAUGCCGUGUUUGGCAGAGUUCAACUGGACCCAGUCUGAAGGUAGGCUUCAUGCCUAGUGCAGAGCCCAACACAAGGCUCUUGACCCUGAGAUCAAGACCUGAGCUAAGAUCAAGAGUCGGAUGCUUAACCUACUAAGCAACCUGACUAUGCCUCUUCAUAGGUUCUUCAUAUAUUUUGAAUACUAACCCCUUAUCAAGAGCACGAGUAGGGAGAGUCGCAGAAGGGGAGGGAGGGAGAGAAUCUUAAGCAGGCUCCACGCCUAGUGUGGCUUCUUGGGGGAGGGGCUGGAUCUCAUGACCCUGAGAUCAUGACCUGAGUCGAAAUCAAGUCGGACGUUUAACCGCCUGAGCCACCCAGGUGCCCCUAAAUUAGCCCUUAUUCCAAAGAGUAAAUUCACCAAAACACUGAAUGAGUGUGAAAUACCCCAUUUCCAUAAACAUAAAACAUUUUCGGCAAAGAUUCACUGAAAAUAAAACUUUGCUGUUUCCUUGAGACAAGUAGUUUCCAAAGUGGAUAGGUUUAUUUUUAAGGGCAACUACAUCACUCUUGAACACACAUACGAUAGUUAUCAUACGUCUGCUAGAGAGAACCACAGCCCCCUUGAUUCACACGCUUUCUUCCUUCAGUGCAGGCCUCAGAGCUUCACACCGGAAACACACGAGAGAAGGCCUCUGGCAAGAACCUGUAUCUGCUCAGGAAAGGAGGGGACCGUACACUUUCUGGGUUUACUGAGAUCAAACAGGAUGAAUUCUCUCAACUCACCUCAAACGCUAAGUCUAAAGUAAUAAUGCCGACAAGGAACAGGCCGGUUCUGAUGUUUACUUUCUACCUACUGCUACGCUUUAUUGAAACAGAUAAUAACGGCCCCGGUGCAUACGUACGCAUGCCAAACACAAUGCCUCAGCCGUUAUCCGAGCGUAAAUACCACCCAAUCAGUGAUCUGAAUGAAAGGCUUUUAAGUCUUAGGUAUCUAAUUUUCCAUGAACAAUCAAUUAGAAAAAGAAAAAUCAUCAAAUACUCUAAGCAUUCUUUUUCAUACUCCUAAGACCAUAAAAUAAGCCCUAUUAUAAAUAAAAAAUACACUUCUAUCAAAAACAUUAUACAACACAGACUCAUGGAUUGCAUUAAAAAUCCUUAACAUGUUUCAACACUGAAGCCAGAAACACAUAUACAUUUCUGUCAGAGUGAACAAGACCGUAAACAAAAAUAAUUUAUAACCCUAUCAUGUUGUUAAAUCUUAGCGCACAGUACCGGAUUCACAGUAACAAGCAGAGCUAAAAUGAACACUGAGGUCACCGUACGUAAGAUGGUGAUCCUCAAAUGCCAUUAAAUACUUGCCUUGAACUUGUGGGGUUUUGGCUUUCUAAUAAAUACGUAAUAAAUAUCUGUAGCGCACGGUC